rnacentral:rRNA from 2 species
UUUAUUUAAUGGCCGCGGUAUUUUGACCGUGCGAAGGUAGCGUAAUCAUUAGCCCACUAAUUUUGGGAUUGUAUGAAUGGUUUGACGAAACAUUAACUGUCUCAUUUUAAUUAUUUAUAACUUAAUUUUUUAGUUAAAAAGCUUAAAUUUUUUUAUAGGACGAGAAGACCCUAUAGAUCUUUAUUUUUAUUAUUUGGUUUAUUAUUUUGGUCUAUAUUUUAAUAUUUAUAUAUUUAUUAUUUUGUUGGGGUGACAUUGGGAUAUAAUUAAUUCUCUUUUUUUUUUUCAUUUAUUUUUGUUUUUUU